rnacentral:lncRNA from 1 species
CGAGAAGAAAGGAGCACCUGUGUAAUGUGACAGUUGGAUGACAUGACCAUAUUUUAAGGAAUAUAAGAUGGAUGAGGAAUGGCAAGCUCUCAGUAUAAGGCUCACAAGAAGAAGAAUCCUUGUGCUGAGGAACCCUAUACACUCUUACAUACUGGAUCCAGAUUUCCAGCGCUGGAGGUCUGUGGUGAACCACCCACUGCUGGCAGCGGUCUAACCCGGCUGAGGCAGCGGAUGGGGUGGGUGUUGAAUCCCGUGGAGAGCACUGGAGACCAGACCAGCCCUGCUGAAUCAUGCUAA